rnacentral:tRNA from 1 species
CAUUAAAUGGCUGAAAGUAAGCAAUGGAAUUUUAACCCAUUUUAUAGUAAAUUAACGCAUGCUUUUAAUG